rnacentral:rRNA from 1 species
UACAGAGGGGGCAAGCGUUGUUCGGAAUUACUGGGCGUAAAGGGCGCGUAGGCGGCCUGCUAAGUCGAACGUGAAAUCCCUGGGCUCAACCCAGGAACUGCGUCCGAUACUGGUUGGCUUGAAUCCGGGAGAGGGAUGUGGAAUUCCAGGUGUAGCGGUGAAAUGCGUAGAUAUCUGGAGGAACACCGGUGGCGAAGGCGACAUCCUGGACCGGUACUGACGCUGAGGCGCGAAAGCCAGGGGAGCAAACGGG